GAUGGGACGCCCACCUCGGGGCUGGAGCGGGCGCGGCUCUCUGGGCUCCGCAGGUCCGCGCGCGAGCUGAGCUGCCUGGAGCCGGCGGCCUCCACCGCUUUCCGCGCGCCGCUCCCGGCGGAGACGAAUCCUCUUCGUUCGUUCCCUUUCUUUCUUUUCUUUCUUUCAUUAAGCUUCUCGGUGCUCUUUAGGUGUGCAGUGCCGUUACAUCGCCGCUGGGAUCCUGCACCUUUGCUUACAAAUUGCCGGUGAGGAAGUUUAAAGCUCCAUCGUCACUCCUAAGUGCUUCGGCAGGUGCUCUGUGAGGACACCAUCCACUUCCACAACUGCCAGCCUGGGAAAGAACCGAUCCGCUAUCACCCAGUCUGCCUCUCCCUGGCUUUCUCCCUCUGGGAGCAAUUGACAGACGUCGAUCUGGACCCCUGGAUUAUUGCCUUGUUCAGUGCAUGAUACCACAUUAUAAUAUUUAUUCUGAUGCGCAGUCUAUUCCAGAGUUGGUCUUUGGGCCUUGGAGUGAGACUUUUCUCCAACCA
rnacentral:lncRNA from 1 species